UUUUCAAAAACGUCGCUAAAGCCCUGAGCAUUAGCGGCGCUUUUUCAAAAACGCCACUAAAGCCCCGAAAGGUCAGAAAACGACGCCAUUGGGCUUAGAUUUUUUGCGGCGUUUUUACGAAAA
rnacentral:pre_miRNA from 1 species